rnacentral:rRNA from 1 species
CCUACGGGAGGCAGCAGUGGGGAAUAUUGCACAAUGGGCGAAAGCCUGAUGCAGCAACGCCGCGUGAGCGAUGAAGGCUUUCGGGUCGUAAACCUCUGUUCUCAAGGACGAUAAUGAUGGUACUUGAGGAGGAAGCCCCGGCUAACACCGUGUCAGCAGCCGCGGAAAUAGGUAGGGGGCGAGCGUUAUCCGGAUUUACUGGGCGAAAGGGGGGCGGAGGUGGUUGCUUAGGUCGGAGGUGAAAGGCUCCGGCUCAACCGUAGUAAGCCUUUGAAACUGGGGAGCUUGAGUGCAGGAGAGGAGAGUGGAAUUCCUAGUGUAGCGGUGAAAUGCGUAGAUAUUAGGAGGAACACCAGUGGCGAAGGCGGCUCGCUGGACUGUAACUGACACUGAGGCGCGAAAGCGUGGGGAGCAAACAGGAUUAGAUACCCCUGUAGUC